rnacentral:rRNA from 1 species
AACGAACGCUGGCGGCAUGCCUAACACAUGCAAGUCGAACGAGACCUUCGGGUCUAGUGGCGCACGGGUGCGUAACGCGUGGGAACCUGCCCUUAGGUUCGGAAUAACUCCCCGAAAGGGGUGCUAAUACCGGAUAAUGUCUUCGGACCAAAGAUUUAUCGCCUUUGGAUGGGCCCGCGUUGGAUUAGCUAGUUGGUAGGGUAAAAGCCUACCAAGGCGACGAUCCAUAGCUGGUCUGAGAGGAUGAUCAGCCACACUGGGACUGAGACACGGCCCAGACUCCUACGGGAGGCAGGAGUAGGGAAUAUUGGACGAUGGGCGAAAGCCUGAUCCAGCAAUGCCGCGUGAGUGAUGAAGGGCUUAGGGUUGUAAAGCUCUUUUACCCGGGAUGAUAAUGACAGUACCGGGAGAAUAAGCUCCGGCUAACUCCGUG